GACGAACGCUGGCGGCGUGCUUAACACAUGCAAGUCGAACGAAGUGGCGAACGGGUGAGUAACGCGUAAUCAACCUGCCCUUCAGAGGGGGACAACAGUUGGAAACGACUGCUAAUACCGCAUACUGAAGGAGGGGAUUGCGUCUGAUUAGCUAGUAGGUAAGGUAAUGGCUUACCUAGGCGACGAUCCCUAGCUGGUCUGAGAGGAUGAUCAGCCACACUGGGACUGGGACACGGCCCAGACUCCUACGGGAGGCAGCAGUGGGGAAUAUUGCACAAUGGGCGCAAGCCUGAUGCAGCCAUGCCGCGUGUAUGAAGAAGGCCCUAGGGUUGUAAACUGCUUGUGUAUGGGGAUAGGUACCAUACGAAUAAGGACCGGCUAAUUCCGUGCCAGCAGCCGCGGUAAUUC
rnacentral:rRNA from 1 species